rnacentral:rRNA from 1 species
AACGAACGUUAGCGGCGCGCCUAACACAUGCAAGUCGCACGAGAAAGGGCUUCGGCCCCGGUAAAGUGGCGCACGGGUGAGUAACACGUGGGUAAUCUGCCCUCGAGCAGGGGAUAACAUUCCGAAAGGAGUGCUAAUACCGUAUAAGACCACGACCUCGAAAGAGGAUGCGGUCAAAGCUGGCCUCUAUACAUAAGCUAGCACUUGAGGAUGAGCCCGCGGCGCAUCAGGUAGUUGGCGAGGUAAUGGCUCACCAAGCCUAAGACGCGUAGCUGGUCUGAGAGGAUGAUCAGCCACCCUGGAACUGAGACACGGUCCAGACUCCUACGGGAUGCAGCAGUGGGGAAUCUUGCGCAAUGGGCGAAAGCCUGACGCAGCGACGCCGCGUGAGUGAUGAAGGCCUUCGGGUUGUAAAGCUCUGUGGGGAGAGACGAAUAAGUGCAGCCUAAUACGUUGCAUGAUGACGGUAUCUCCUUAGCAAGCACCGGCUAACUCUGUGCCAGCCGCCGCAGUAAAAC